GACGAACGCUGGCGGCGUGCCUAAUACAUGCAAGUCGAGCGAAGUUUUUCUGGUGCUUGCACCGGAAAAACUUAGCGGCGAACGGGUGAGUAACACGUAAAGAACCUGCCUCAUAGACUGGGACAACUAUUGGAAACGAUAGCUAAUACCGGAUAAUAUCAUUAACUGCAUGGUUGAUGUUUAAAAGUUGGUUUUGCUAACACUAUGAGAUGUCUUUGCGGUGCAUUAGCUAGUUGGUGGGGUAAAGGCCUACCAAGGCGACGAUGCAUAGCCGACCUGAGAGGGGGAUCGGCCAACAUGGGAAUGAGGAAAGGCCCCGACUCCUAAGGGAGGCAGCAGUAGGGAAUCUUCCGCAAUGGGCGAAAGCCUGACGGAGCAACGCCGCGUGAGUGAAGAAGGAUUUCGGUUCGUAAAGCUCUGUUGUUAGGGAAGAAUGAUUGUGUAGUAAAUAUACACAGUAGAGAAGGUACCUAACCAGAAAGCCACGGCUAACUAAGUGC
rnacentral:rRNA from 1 species